UCUAGGUCAGAUUGAUUUAAAGUUUGGUCAUGAGCUAUUCACAGUCACUAUGAACCUAUCUGAUGGAAGUCGUUGUCAGAAUUGCAACAGUAAUAUAUAUCAGGGUCAAAGAUUUUGUGACAAUUGUGGACUCAGAAUUAAUCAUAGACUUGCUAUAGGAACAUUAUGCACAGGAAAAACAGAUGGCAUUCCUUGUUAUAAUGUACUUAACUCAAGAAUCAAAUUUUGCAGCAGUUGAGGUACAGAAAAUGAUUCAUAUUUACCAGAUUCAACUACGGGGAAGAGCAUCGAUAGAGAUAACAGUUUACUUAGUAAGCCAGCUUCGGACGACGAAGACAAAUGGGAAGCACAUGAUAUAGAUUUAAAUAUUGCAGAUGAUUCUACAAGCAAACAUGACCUAACAUCAAAUACCCUUUUACACCAGGAAGAGGACGUCUAUCAAGAAGACAGAUGGGAACCACAGAAUAUUUCAUAUGUCACAAUAAUGUCGAAGAAAACAAACAACACCACGACUAGAAGAAAAACAAUCCACGAAACACCAAAGUAAAUAAAACGACAUGACCACAAUCGGCGAUAUACACAAGUGCCCCAGUAAGGUUAGAAAGUCCUCCAAUUAAGGCACCAGUCGUGUUGCUCAUGGUAAGUAAACAUUAACAUACAGGUUAAUCAAAAGAAAGCGACCGAUGGAAUGUAUCGGUAAUCAUCUAUGUCAGAGAUAUUCUAUGGUUGUCAACCAGAUUAUUGCAUCGCCGCUGUAAAUGUUUCGAAUGGUUUACUAUUUUCAAAUUUACGAUUAGGAACUCUUAAUGAAAUAGAUUCCUUCUAAAAAGAACCCCUUAAUCAUAGAAAUAAUGACAAUAAACGCAAGUCCUGAUAUAUCGUAUAAAGUAGAUAUAUAUAUAUAUCUCAUAUGCGGAUGGUGUUGAAAUGUUCAUUUCUAAAUGUGUGGCUAAACUAGUUUAGCUCGAGCUUCGUCGGAUAGAAAUCGACAUAUCGACCUUACGCAAGUGUACGUAUGCAUGUACAUGUAUAUGACUUUUAUUGAUUUUGGAACAUUCAAAUACGAAAUAAAAGAUGAAUUUUUGGUCUGUUUUGUAUGGUUCUAGUAACAACUCAACUUUUAAAAAGUAACAGACUUUCCGUAGAGAUUUCUUCAAUCCGAAAAAGUUAAACAGAUGUAUUGAUAUUCAUUUGCAUAAGGUCGAUUUCUAUCAGACGCAGCCCAUAUAAUAUUCACAUGAUUGUCUGCUUUUUAAGAAACCUUGCAGUGGUCGAUCUAUGAUAAGUAUGAUUAGAUUGGACUGUUUCAGUCCAUUCGAUCCUCAUGAAUCGAUUGCAGAUGUUUGGUGUCUAUUUGAAAAUUAAACAAUCAGUUUUGGAGCCGUGCGUUAUAGAGCUUUACAUAUUAUGUAGUCUUGACCUUGACCUACCACAUCUUCUUAUUUCUAUACUUGUCCGAUUGUAGUUGAAUCAUGGUCUUACAAUUUAUUGAGAUCACCAUUCAGUGCUUAUUGAAAUUUUUGCAUGUUUGUAACAGCAUUUAGAUGUGAACAAUUGUUUAUGUUAAAACUACAAAUUUACCUUGUAGAUGCAGAGU